AUUGUGUGAAUACAUAGCACAUUCGAGGUAGACGCAGAGAACUGAAACAUCUAAGUACCUGCAGGAAGAGAAAGAAAAUUCGAUUCCCUGAGUAGCGGCGAGCGAAACGGGAAAAGCCCAAACCAGCAAGCUUGCUUGUUGGGGUUGUAGGACUCCAAUAUGGUAGUUCUUUCAGAUAGUCGAAUGACUUGGAAAAGUCAGUCAAAGAGGGUAAAAACCCCGUAGACGAAAUGUGGAAGACACCUAGGAGGAUCCUGAGUACGGCGGAACACGAGAAAUUCCGUCGGAAUCCGGGAGGACCAUCUCCCAAGGCUAAAUACUCCCUAGUGACCGAUAGUGAACCAGUACCGUGAGGGAAAGGUGAAAAGCACCCCGGAAGGGGAGUGAAAUAGAACCUGAAACCGUGUGCCUACAACAAGUCAAAGCCCGUUAAUGGGUGAUGGCGUGCCUUUUGUAGAAUGAACCGGCGAGUUACGAUUGCAUGCGAGGUUAAGUUGAAGAGACGGAGCCGCAGCGAAAGCGAGUCUGAAUAGGGCGUUUGAGUAUGUAGUCGUAGACCCGAAACCAUGUGAUCUACCCAUGUCCAGGUUGAAGGUGCGGUAAAACGCACUGGAGGACCGAACCCACGUACGUUGAAAAGUGCGGGGAUGAGGUGUGGGUAGCGGAGAAAUUCCAAACGAACUUGGAGAUAGCUGGUUCUCUCCGAAAUAGCUUUAGGGCUAGCCUCGGAAUUGAGAAUGAUGGAGGUAGAGCACUGUUUGGACUAGGGGCCCAUCUCGGGUUACCGAAUUCAGAUAAACUCCGAAUGCCAUUCAUUCAUAUCCGGGAGUCAGACUGUGAGUGAUAAGAUCCAUAGUCGAAAGGGAAACAGCCCAGACCACCAGCUAAGGUCCCAAAAUAUAUGUUAAGUGGAAAAGGAUGUGGGGUUGCACAGACAACUAGGAUGUUGGCUUAGAAGCAGCCACCAUUUAAAGAGUGCGUAAUAGCUCACUAGUCGAGUGACCCUGCGCCGAAAAUGUACCGGGGCUAAACAUAUUACCGAAGCUGUGGAGUACACCUUUAGGUGUAUUGGUAGGAGAGCGUUCUAAGGGCGUUGAAGGCAGAUCGUGAGGACUGCUGGAGCGCUUAGAAGUGAGAAUGCCGGUAUGAGUAGCGAAAGACAGGUGAGAAUCCUGUCCACCGAAUGACUAAGGUUUCCUGGGGAAGGCUCGUCCGCC
rnacentral:rRNA from 1 species